rnacentral:sRNA from 1 species
GGGAAUGAUGUGCGGAUCAUCCUUGGCCAGUUUGACCAGAAUAUGGCAGCAAAAGUGUUCUGUUGUGCAUAUGAGGAGAACAUGUAUGGUAGUAAAUACCAGUGGAUCAUCCCGGGCUGGUACGAGCCUUCUUGGUGGGAGCAGGUGCACACGGAAGCCAACUCAUCCCGCUGCCUCCGGAAGAAUCUGCUUGCUGCCAUGGAGGGCUACAUUGGCGUGGAUUUCGAGCCCCUGAGCUCCAAGCAGAUCAAGACCAUCUCAGGAAAGACUCCACAGCAGUAUGAGAGAGAGUACAACAACAAGCGGUCAGGCGUGGGGCCCAGUAAGUUCCACGGGUACGCCUACGAUGGCAUCUGGGUCAUCGCCAAGACACUGCAGAGGGCCAUGGAGACACUGCAUGCCAGCAGCCGUCACCAGCGGAUCCAGGACUUCAACUACACGGACCACACGCUGGGCAGGAUCAUCCUCAAUGCCAUGAACGAGACCAACUUCUUUGGGGUCACGGGUCAAGUUGUGUUCCGGAACGGGGAGAGAAUGGGGACCAUUAAAUUUACUCAAUUUCAAGACAGCAGGGAGGUGAAGGUGGGAGAGUACAACGCUGUGGCCGACACACUGGAGAUCAUCAAUGACACCAUCAGGUUCCAAGGAUCCGAACCACCAAAAGACAAGACCAUCAUCCUGGAGCAGCUGCGAAAGAUCUCCCUACCUCUCUACAGCAUCCUCUCUGCCCUCACCAUCCUCGGGAUGAUCAUGGCCAGUGCUUUUCUCUUCUUCAACAUCAAGAACCGGAAUCAGAAGCUGAUAAAGAUGUCGAGUCCAUACAUGAACAACCUUAUCAUCCUUGGAGGGAUGCUCUCCUAUGCUUCCAUAUUUCUCUUUGGCCUUGAUGGAUCCUUUGUCUCUGAAAAGACCUUUGAAACACUUUGCACUGUCAGGACCUGGAUUCUCACCGUGGGCUACACGACCGCUUUUGGGGCCAUGUUUGCAAAGACCUGGAGAGUCCACGCCAUCUUCAAAAAUGUGAAAAUGAAGAAGAAGAUCAUCAAGGACCAGAAACUACUUGUGAUCGUGGGGGGCAUGCUGCUGAUCGACCUGUGUAUCCUGAUCUGCUGGCAGGCUGUGGACCCCCUGCGAAGGACAGUGGAGAAGUACAGCAUGGAGCCGGACCCAGCAGGACGGGAUAUCUCCAUCCGCCCUCUCCUGGAGCACUGUGAGAACACCCAUAUGACCAUCUGGCUUGGCAUCGUCUAUGCCUACAAGGGACUUCUCAUGUUGUUCGGUUGUUUCUUAGCUUGGGAGACCCGCAACGUCAGCAUCCCUGCACUCAACGACAGCAAGUACAUCGGGAUGAGUGUCUACAACGUGGGGAUCAUGUGCAUCAUCGGGGCUGCCGUCUCCUUCCUGACCCGGGACCAGCCCAAUGUGCAGUUCUGCAUCGUGGCUCUGGUCAUCAUCUUCUGCAGCACCAUCACCCUCUGCCUGGUAUUCGUGCCGAAGCUCAUCACCCUGAGAACAAACCCAGAUGCAGCAACGCAGAACAGGCGAUUCCAGUUCACUCAGAAUCAGAAGAAAGAAGAUUCUAAAACGUCCACCUCAGUCACCAGUGUGAACCAAGCCAGCACAUCCCGCCUGGAGGGCCUACAGUCAGAAAACCAUCGCCUGCGAAUGAAGAUCACAGAGCUGGAUAAAGACUUGGAAGAGGUCACCAUGCAGCUGCAGGACACACCAGAAAAGACCACCUACAUUAAACAGAACCACUAUCAAGAGCUCAAUGACAUCCUCAACCUGGGAAACUUCACUGAGAGCACAGAUGGAGGAAAGGCCAUUUUAAAAAAUCACCUCGAUCAAAAUCCCCAGCUACAGUGGAACACAACAGAGCCCUCUCGAACAUGCAAAGAUCCUAUAGAAGAUAUAAACUCUCCAGAACACAUCCAGCGUCGGCUGUCCCUCCAGCUCCCCAUCCUCCACCACGCCUACCUCCCAUCCAUCGGAGGCGUGGACGCCAGCUGUGUCAGCCCCUGCGUCAGCCCC